rnacentral:sRNA from 1 species
CCUCACUAACCCAGUUGCAAGGUCUCUGGCUGUCGCUGCUUAGCAGCCCCUCAUUGAAAGUCUCCAGGCUUUGCUUUCCCCACCCCAAGGCGGAGGCCUGCAAGUCCGUUGAGUAUGCAAUGAAGAAAUGUCCCAAUGGCAUGUUCUCUGAGAUCAAGUACGAUGGAGAGCGAGUCCAGGUGCAUAAGAAUGGAGACCACUUCAGCUACUUCAGCCGCAGUCUCAAGCCCGUCCUUCCUCACAAGGUGGCCCACUUUAAGGACUACAUUCCCCAGGCUUUUCCUGGGGGCCACAGCAUGAUCUUGGAUUCUGAAGUGCUUCUGAUUGACAACAAGACAGGCAAACCACUGCCCUUUGGGACUCUGGGAGUGCACAAGAAAGCAGCCUUCCAGGAUGCUAAUGUCUGCCUGUUUGUUUUUGAUUGUAUCUACUUUAAUGAUGUCAGCUUGAUGGACAGACCUCUGUGUGAGCGGCGGAAGUUUCUUCAUGACAACAUGGUUGAAAUUCCAAACCGGAUCAUGUUCUCAGAAAUGAAGCGAGUCACAAAAGCUUUGGACUUGGCUGACAUGAUAACCCGGGUG